rnacentral:rRNA from 1 species
CAGUAGCCGCGGGAAUACGGAGGGUGCAAGCGUUAAUCGGAAUUACUGGGCGUAAAGCGCACGCAGGCGGUCUGACAAGUCAGAUGUGAAAUCCCCGGGCUUAACCUGGGAACUGCAUUUGAAACUGUCAGGCUGGAGUCUUGUAGAGGGGGGUAGAAUUCCAGGUGUAGCGGUGAAAUGCGUAGAGAUCUGGAGGAAUACCGGUGGCGAAGGCGGCCCCCUGGACAAAGACUGACGCUCAGGUGCGAAAGCGUGGGGAGCAAACAGGAUUAGAGACCCCUGUAGUCCCUGUCUCUUAUAC